rnacentral:lncRNA from 1 species
AUGACCCGAACCUUCUAGCACUCAUCAGUAAGUUCCUCCCAACACCUUUUAGUAGGUGUACUUACCUGUAUCCUUCAGUAGAUACAUAAAAAUUAGCAUCCCUCAGAAGAUGCUACCCAAAAAUUGUUUUAAAUAUCCAAAAAUUACAUGUCCAAAAUAAAAUAAAACUAAAACUAAUGUUUUACAACACAUAUAAUUCCUUCCAGCAAAUCACGUCUUUUCCUUCACAAUGGUGUCUUUGGUGCACCAACUCAUCAACUCCUUUCUUUCCACCUGCUUGGUACGUCUGGAAUGUGGCUCUUCAAUCUUCACCACUCCUUUCUCUUUCAGUUCUUUUACUACUCACUCCUUCUUCUUGUACUUCACCUUUAUACCCGGUCGGAGUGAGUCUUCUUUUGAUUCAAGAUGGAUUGUUUGUCCUUUAUCAAUAUCUUCAUUUAUAGCUACCUGCAAAACAUUACAACUGUCAGUAUCAGUACCUGUUCUUUCUCCAGAUGCAACAUCUCUUCUGGACUUUUUGUAUCUGACUCUCUUCUUUAUUCUUACAUUAUUCUCUUUAGAGCCAUUAUACAACAACACAUGUUCUUGAUCUCUUAACAUGAUCCUCCC